rnacentral:lncRNA from 1 species
UCUUUUGUUUUUAAAAGAAAAUAAUUUUGAUUUUAAUGAAUGGAUAAUUAAUGGAAUCGGAUAUUUAAGACCAAGUGAAGAAGAAGAAAAGAAAAAAGAUAUUAUACAAAAAAUCAAUGAAUUAAACAACUUACUUAACAAUAGUAACACAAAUAGUGACAAAAGUAAUGGAGUAAACAAAAAUGAAAAGGAAAUAGACAUUAAUAAAAUUGUGAACGAAAUAGAACAUAAUAAAGUUGUUUAUGAUGAAGACAAAGAAAUAAUUAUUGACAUUAUUAAAAAAAUUGGCGUAUGGUUAAAUAAAUCAUACUAUAAAUUAAACGGUUCUGGUAUUGUAGAAGGUACUGUUUUUGAAACUACUAAAAUACAACCGCAAAUUAACAGCGAACAGGUACAAAACCCCGAUACAAUAUGCGACGAAAAAAAAAUUGAUAUUUUUAAUAAAAACAUGCAUAAACAUAAAAAUAAUAUUGAAGACGAUAGUUUAUGUGACAGUAAAAGUAAUAGUACAUAUAGGAAUAAAAAUGAUAAUAACAAUUUUGUUUUUCAAAAUGGUGAUGACUUAUAUGAUUUGUUAAGAGAAGAUACAAAAAGGCAUAACAAUAUUUAUUUAAGAAAUGACAAUUUUAUAACAAAUAGUAACUCUGUAGAUAGUACCAGUUGUAGCAACAAUAGCCUAUUGGUUAAUAAAACUAAAACGUCAAAUAAUAUAUCUGUUUUAGAAAAAAAAGAAUUGUUUAGUCAGUAUAAUAAAACGAUAGUAGAACAUUCAAACAGCUCCAAGAAUACUAUAACAAAUAGUUCCCUUGAUGAAUGUCCAUUAUAUAUAGAAAUAGAAAACCCAUAUGUUCGAUUACUUGCACAUACCAUCAUUACAAAAUAUUUUAACAACAUUUUUUGUAUGUCUGUUAAAGUAAAUGAUAAAAAACAAUUGGCUAUUUAUAAAAGUGAAAAGGAUUCAUAUAAAGAGCAAAUAAGAACUUAUGAAUUGGAAAUAGAAAAAAUUAAUAAAACGGUUGGUGUUCGUUUAUUAUUUGAUGAAAUUAUAAAAAAUAAAAAAAUUAUAGUUGGUCAUAAUUGUUUUUAUGAUAUUUUACAUAUAUAUCAAACAUUUUAUAAUGAACUUCCAAAUUCUAUUGGUGUUUUUAAAAAAAACUGGACGCAGUUAUUUCCAUAUACUUUUGAUACAAAAUACAUGAAUGAAACAAAUGAAUAUUUAUAUGCUUUAAAUGGGCCAGCAACAUUGAAAGGAUUAUGUGAAUAUAUGGCUUCAUUAAUUUCUUCUACUAAUGAUUUUGGUUUUGUUUUUAAUUUUAUGAAUGGAAAUAAUAUAGACGUACCACAUUGUCUUGUACCGUUUGUCAAUAGUAACGGUGGGGUUAAUUUUUUUUCGGAAUGUAGUGAGAAUGAUACUCACAUGAAUAAUGAUUGUGUUGGUCAGGAGGAAGUGACAAAUACAUAUGCUUUAAAUAGUGUUAGUUGUAGUAGUAACAAUUCUAGUAGUGAUAACCAAAACGAUGUACGGUUAAUAAAUAAUAACGUUACAUGUACUAAUAGCAGUAACGACAAAAAUGUAGCAAAAACGAGUGACGAACACAACGCAGGUUAUGACAGUCUUUUAACUUGUUUGCUUUUUAUAUUUCAAUGUCAUUAUAUUUUAAAAAAUAAUAAUAAGCAUUGGAGAAAUAUUUAUUUUGAUAGACAAACUGAUGUUAUAAAUAGUAAUAAUAAUAAUAACAGUUUUUUCACUUUUUUUUUAAAUAUGUGUAACAAAAUAAAAAUUGUGAAAACACAACCAAAUGUUGUGUCUUUAACAAGUCAGGAAAAUCACGAAAUGGAAAGACAUUUUUAUAUGUAUGAUUACCCAAGUUAUUUUAAAAAAUGGGAAAUCAUGAAGAUAUGGUCUCCUAUAUGGAUCUCGUUAAGUAAGGUAAACGACCAGGCU